AGCGUUUCCACGGAGAACACUGACCUUCCGCAAGGGAGCUGGUAGCGGAAAGUGAAUCCCUGAUCUCCUCAGAAGGCCUCCAAAAGAGCGCCCUGGAGUUGUGCGCAGGUGCAGAUUCUUGCUGAGAAGGUCUGGAUUGAGGCUCAGAAUUGAGCUGUUCUGAGAAGUUCCCAGAUGAUGCUGGUUCUGCUGCUCUGAGGACCACACUAAGAAUCCCUGCUAGUGGAAAAUAACAACAUCAACCAGGUAUGUCUUCCCCCAGAAUGCAGCACACAUAAAGCAAGAACCUCUCUCCCCUUUUAAAUUUUUACUUGAUGUAAUAUUGCAUAACCUCCAUUUCAAAUCGUGAUAUAUAGACAAAAUUUCUAUCCCUCUAUCAGUGGAUUCUUGAAAUCAGUAUGAAUUUUACAUUAAGCUAUGAAAAGCAACAUAACUUGGUUAUCUUGUAAGCGUAUUACUUCAUUGCUUCCCAUGUGUCAAGUUUCAGAAAAGGAAAAUGGAGCUUAGAUAACUCUUACAAUUUUGUUUAACUCAAUACAUUUAUUGGUCUGAAUAUGGAUUUAAUAGUCUAAGAUCACAAGACCAUAAACUAUAGACAGAAUUCUAGAUUUCAGCUCUAGCAUGCUUCAAUAGCUUUCUUGUAGUACUUCUAAAAGCAUAAUGUUCAUAAUAUGUCCAAAUAACUACUUAACCCAUUGUCUAUUCAUUUGCAGUGGUAUUUCUUCACAUCAAAAAGAGGUCUGUCUCUAUGCCAGACCCCAUUUUUCCAGUUGUUCUUAGGUACCAUCAAGUAGAUUUUGAUUCAUAGCAACCCCAUGUGACAGAGUAGAACUUGCCCAUAGGGUAAUCUUUACAGGAGCAGAUCACCAGGCCUCCCUCCCAUUGAUCCACUGGGAGGGUUUGAACUGCCAACUUUUUGGUUAGCAGCCAAGUGUUUUUAAGUUAUAGCAAAUAGGGUAAGGGGUUUUCCUUUGUUAGUGAACCAAAACAGUAAGAACCCCCAUGUCCAAAAACAUCACUUUUGGUUAAAGAUUCUUAACUCAACAUUCUCCCACUGAAAUGCUUUUGUAAGAAGUACAUCAUCGUUUGCAUCCUCAUGUUUCGAAGUGACUUCAUAAAUAUUGCUGCUUAGGUUUUAAUUUUGAAAUUCCACUAGAGACUCUUCACCUUUGAAGAAUUACCAAAUCCAUCCACCAUCUGGCUUAGAGAGUUCUUCUACCCACUGGGUUUUACACACUGAAACCACUUACCUAAAAUAAUUUUAGUAACCAGGAUUCUGUUAACUUUUAUUUCUAUUUCAUGUGGACAUUAGUUAAAAUAUUUUUAAAAAGUAUUUUGUAUCUCAUCUUGUGUAAACAUUCAGACUUUUAUUUUUCUAUAUUGUUUGAGAAAAACUAAUAAGUCAAAUAUGGUAAAGAUACUAACUAAAAUAACCCAUUUCCUUAAAAUAAGACACAAUAGAAAUUUCGUAUUUAAUAUAUAUGCCUUAACUUGACGGCAAUGGGUUUGGUUUAAAUAAAUCUAAUUCCUUUUGAAAGCAGUCUGCUACAUAAAACUGAACACUUCAUUACCAACAAGGACAAUGUUUUAUUGAACAAAUCUAUGUACAGUACAAAAAAAUUUCUUGAAAUGAAACACUAUUGUUGAUUUAUUGCAGUUCAAUGGCUCAGAUUUAAUUUGUACUCUUAUAAAAUGCAAAGUAAAAUAAUUUAAUGUUCAACAAGGAAGCACAAAUUUCCUUUCUUGCUGAAUCUGUAAUAUCUUUCACAUAUAACAAUUCCAAAAUGCAUAUGCAGCAUUUAAUCAUUCUGAAAAGGUGUUUUACAGUACCAAAUAAAUUAAAAAAUAAACACUAGCAUCUCUUUUAGGGUUUCCAUCCAUACAACAGUAUUAAACCAAACAUGAACGGAGUACAGCUGAACCUUCAGUGUGAUUUAAGAAAAAGAAAAAAUCACAAGUUUAAUGUUAUAAAUUAGCUACUCAAAUUAUGUAAUUGGUAGUUUUUUUUAAAAAUGAAUAUGGCUAAAGCCCAAAGUACCAGUGUCCUUGCCCACAAAUAUGCCCCUUUUCUACUUCCUCCAUAAUGUCUGAGCAGCAAAAAUUCAGAUUUGCUCUUUUCUUGACCUUACUAACACAUAGCAGAAAGUUAAUAUUUAAUUUUUUUAAGGAAAUUUUUAUUUAAAAACAAAGGUUUGAAACUUGGUCCAUGGAAGAUAAACCCAUUUUCAAAACAGAAGGAGUGGGAAAGUAGAAAAAAAGAGCAGAAUGAGAAGAAUAAGAAAGCUUUCUUUUCUUCUGAAUCCCAAAUUAGAACUGUUGGAAGUUUACACACCCCAUGAAAGCCAAAUGGUUUAGGUUUAUGUUUUAUAAGACACACAAUAUUAAAAUGUACACAUUUCUUCAAUAGAGAUUAUUUGAGAAGUAUAUAAAUAAAAAGGUUGAAGACAGUGUGGUCAAAUAGAAUUUUUUAAAUCAUUCUUUGAAACAGUUAUAACAUAAACCAAUUUGAUCUUUCUUUCAGUAACCAUUCUCUCUUAGCAAUACAAAAGUAGACAAAAAAACCCUAAUUAAAGACCAACAAAUAAAAAUAACAAGUGGAAUAUGUUUAAAAACAUCUUAGUCUGAACUGCAAAUUAAUGAAAAUGUUAACAAUUUGUGGGCAUGGAUUUAUGUCAAUGGUUACAACUUCUUUAAAAAAAGUAAAAAAUGUGAUGAAAUUUUAACAGUUAUUUUAAACUUUUGGAAAAUGUACAAAGCAGAAAGUACAGUUCAAGAAAAACUUCAUUUCCAAACGAACCAUUUUCCCAACAGGCUUUUAUUACAUCAUACACUUUAAAACUGAACUGAAACAGAACUCAUUACAUUUUGAGUAUCAGGGAGUAUGGAAAACUUUUUCUGUAGUUAACCUUAAAGGAUUAAAGUAUCUGAUUAUGAGUUUUGUUUGUUAUUUAAAUAUAAAUCCCACAGCCUAAUAUAGGCUACAUAACAAAACAAAAACGAAUCUAAUGUUCACUGGACUGGACUUCUGACCAUCAUUGCAUAGUAGUGAUGUCCCGUGAUAAAUCAACUCAUUAGUAAAUUGUUUUCUAGGUCAUCUGCGGUAUCGUGACCUGGAAAUCCUAAUUCAGUAAAGUCUGGAUGGUACCCUGGAAGAAUAUCCCACUUCCUCAGUAACCUGAUUGAAGAAGCUUUAGUAUCCUAAAAUUUAUAAUAGGUCUGAUGAGAUUCUCUGCUUUGAACAAAAAUUUAUCAGUUGGAAUAACUGGAUAUAUUUGGUUGACAAUAGUAGCUCCAUUUUUUUUUUUUCCUUAAGAAUUUGCCUUUGCGUUUUUGUUCUUUUCAUCCCUGUUUUAGAUUAACAAAAUAUUAGGUAAAAGGAGGUCUUUAGGCUUCCUGUUUUCAAGAAUGGACAAGCAGAAAACAUCUAAUUUGAAAAGGUAUUUUUAAAAACAUUUAUUGUUUCAACAGUUUACUCACUAUCAAUUACAAUCUUCCUUAGGAAAAUUACUUGUCACCAAGGGAAAUAAAUCAACAAUACAUCUCUUGUGUUCUUGCUGUGCAAAUUUUUAUGUAAAUACUUCCUUUUAUAUAUAAAAAUUACUGCGCAGACCAAAUUCAUCACUACUGAACAAGAAAGCACGAGUAGUAUGGCUUAUUUUUUGGAGUUAAAUCUCCUAACUGAAUAAAAUCAAUGGAUUUUUUUUACCUGAUUCUUAUCUGACAAUUUUUUUUAAACGCCAGUUAUCCUUAUAGGACUGUGCUUAGAUAACUCACAUUAAUGUCUAAAAGACCUUACUAUGAAUUAUCAAGCAAUGUCCCAACACUACUCUAAAUUCAAACAGAAAUAUCCCAGUGUGCUUAUACCAUUAUUCACAUUGAAGAAUUUGCAAUUCAGUGUUUUCCUUCAACUAUACAGCCUUUAAUGGUCUCAGAUUCCUCCCAUGUCUUCCCAAAGUCACUGAUGGUACAACACUGCUGUCUUUUAAAUAUAACUAAUUUAUCUUACAAACGUGGAAGGUUCUGUCAAGAGCUUAUUAGCAAAACUUUUUUUUUUUUUUUAGUUUUCAAUGUUGGCAUGCCCUUCGUUGAAUUUUGUCUGUCUAAUCAUCUGGAAACAAGUUUACAGUAUUUAAUGGGUAACAUGGUGAUAAAUCAAGUUUUAUUUUCAUGUGUCAAUUUCUAAAUUAUAACAGGAACCAAACAGCAAUGGUUCCUUAAACCACGUUUGACCAGAUGGGAGGACAUAAUCUGAUUAUGCAUAAAAAGAAAACAAAUCCCAUUUGUUUUUUUUAAUCAUAAACCAACCUCCUUUUUUUAAUGGGUUAACUUCCCUUUCCGUAAGGCCAUAGCUGGUUUUUCUCUGUGACUAGUCGCCUGAACGUGUUCCUCACAUAAGCGAAACUGAACGUGCUGCUGUUAAUUAUCGUAAACUUUUUUUAAACGUGGUUUUCUGGAUAACUGGUACUUUGGGGGUUCUGUAAUGACCCUUAAGGAGUCUAAAUCAGCACAUCUCUGCAAGUUCAUUCUAAAAAUGUGCUUUGCGCCUUUCUCUUUAGUAAUCCAAGACCGUUCUAAAAUUAAGGCCAUCAGGGAAAUAGCAAACUGAUGAUGCAUUUUCUUGUAGUGCUUUUUUCAUACUACUGCUUGAUAGACAGAUCUUUCUGAAACAUUUUUAUCAGGCACCUGUAAAACAGAACACGUCUGUUAAUUCAAAUUGUAUAGAUGUUCAACUGGAAUUCUAAGUCAUAUUUCUGUUUAAUUUAUACCCUUCCUUAUUCAAAGGAUACUGAUAUCAGUAGAAGGGCAAGCUCAUCUUUUACGGAAUUUUAUUCUAUUAAAAUUAUUUUCUGCUGCUUUUUCACUUCUGUUAUAACAGAUGCUCACCUUCACUUGAUUUAUAUCCUGGCAUGCAGAUGAAAACAUGUUUUCAUCAUAAUUACUUUGUUUCUAGACAUUUUACUACAUAAAACUUGGAAUGAAGAAAAGCCUUUGAUACAGUGGAAGAUCAAAGAGUAUGAAAGACCUGUGUUUAAGUUCUGACUUCUACAAUUCAUAGGUCUCUGCCUAUCCAAAGUACUUAACCUUUGAGAAUUUCACUGCUUGAUUUAUAAAACAGGAAUAGUCAUAUCACCUCAUGGUGGCUGUAUGGGUUAAAGAAAGUAAUUUUUAGGGUACUGCUUUAUUACCUGUGCUAUACAGAUGUUAAUUUUUUAACCAUGUAGAAGUCUAUUAUAGUUUUAUCUAUAGCAUUUUCUAUUUCUAUAGAUAUACCUACUGAGAAGAUUGAAGACUUACUUUCGUCGUCUGAAUCAAAUCCAAAGAGUGUCUGACAUUUCUUUUGUGCAAGGUGAGCCUCAAGUGCUUCUGCAUUACAGUAGGUGGUCAGGCAUUUGCCACAUCUUAAUCUUUUCACUGACUUUUUACAAACAUUAUCUUGAUCAGAACAGGCAUCUACUCUAUCAGUCAGAAAUUUUCUGCGUUUUGGCAUACUAAGGUAUCGUUCAUCAAGGUAACUGGGAGGCAAUGGUCUGACAUAUGGCUUUGUUAAAAUUAAGCCAUAAGAAGUAUGUUCACUUGUCAAAUUUGGUUUGGAAGGUGCCUGAGAUACUGGCAGAGUAUUGUGUUCCUGUGGUACAACACGGGGUAAAAUGGAACCGUUUUCUGUCCUGGUUCUAUUUUUAUCAGUUUUCAAAGCAGGAUCUGACGAAACUAAAGGUGUCUGUUCUAUUUCACCGUGUCCAUUGACUAACUGAUCGUUAAUGGCACAAUUAUUGCCAGAAUUUGGCUCCACAUCAGGCAUCUUUUGGUCUGUCAAGCUUGUAUCUGAAACAGCGUCAUCAGAAUGUUCAUUUCCAUUCUGAACUAAGCUAUCUGUUUUCUUUUCCAUAGUUUCUAUACACGUCUUUGGUUCUGUAUAAUCCUUCCUUGAUUUGCUAGUAGAAACCGGCAGACUAAUAGUUUGCUUCUCAUUACUGGAUGAGUCUGUCUCCUGAUGAUUAGCAUUUGAGUCCCUAAGAACGUCCCAAAGAAUUGAUUCACUUGGUUGUGUAGAUGAUUCUGGUGUUUUACUUAAAUAGUGCUGAGCUUCAUGUUCAUAGAGCAGAGGAAGAUCUUCAAACAGCUCAUGGCAUUCUGGAAAACUACACUGAGCUUGAAACAUCCUGUGACUUUUUGUGUGCUGAGCAAGCUGCAAUGGCAGCUUAAAGGACUCACUGCAAUUAAAAUGCAAACAAAAGUACACAUUUGGAUAGCUGUGUCUAUUAAGGUGAUCUAUAAAAUGCUGAGAAUCUUCAAAUUGCCUCUGACAAAAUUUGCAUUUUCCUUUGCUCCACUUCAUUACUGUUUGCCGCACAUUUAAAUCAGUUGGAUGUACAGUCCUUGCAUGCUUAUUUAGAAAUCCAAUUUUUUUAAAUAUCCUGAUACAGCCAAGAGCCGGACACUUAAAGUUUCCUUCUUGAUCCGUAGCAUAUAUGUCUUUUGGAUGGCACACAGUCCCAUUGAUUUUAUGAAGUACUGAAGUUUCUUGAUUCAGGUCAUAAUCAUCUUCCUCAUAAUCGCCUUCUUCCUCUUCUUCGUCAUCUUCGCAUUCAGGUAAAGGCUCCAGGACGUUAUUUAAAGGAGUAUCAGGACUGCCAUUUUUAAUAGUGUUUUCCAUAACUUCUUCUGAUACACUUACAGGAAUUUCAAUGAAUUCAGCCACAUGCUCAGGGAUGACUUCUUUGUUUCCAUCAGUGGAAACAGUAAGCAGCUGUACUUCCAAAUUCUUAUCAGAAUUCCCAUUUUCAAAUGAAAUGGAAGAAUCAGAACAAUUUAUUUCUUCCAAAGCAGGAAUUUCCUGAUCUUCCUUUUGAGCUACAGCUAUUUGCUGUCUCUGUAUUUUCUUAACAUGAUUUUUUAAAUGCUUCUGCAUAAGUCCUCUGUUUCUAAAUUUCCUACCACAUAUUACACAUGAAAAACUGCCUUUUUUCUGAUGAGCCUGGGCAUGCCUUACAAUGUGACCACCUAGAAACUCUUUGUUACAUAACACACACCGAUGCCUUGGGACAUUGUGAUCGACUCUGGAAGCAUUCAGAGCUGUAAAGUUUUUCUUUGUAUUAGCAUGACCUUUAGACUGCACUCCAUAUAUAUCAUCAAAGUCCAACUCUCCAGUGGUCUGAUCCGUAAGAGAGUGAAGCCCUUCAUCUAAACCUUGCCGUUCCACUGUCUUUUUGAGAUUACCUGUAGAAUUUUCCAGUGUACUUUCAUUUAAAAAUCUAACUGCUGAUUUAUCUCUCAAUAAUGCUACACAGUUUUUCUUAAUCAUUACAAAGUUCCAAAAUUCAGGAUCAAAAAACAACCCCUUUUUCAAAAUUGGAAGUAAUUCAAAGCGAACACGAUUUUGAACACUGCUUGUGCCUUCGUUAUAUUCUUCAUCUGGACGUUUGUACAGCCUUUCAACAGUAUGAUACGCUUCCAAGGAACGCUCGAGAAAAAAUAUUGAGAGUGCACAAAUCCUGAGAAUCUCCAAAUCAUUUGGCAAAAAAUGUGCAAUUGUUUUAUAAAUUAGACAUUUAGUUUUGGGAUCAUCAUGAAGAUCUAGUUGUAGAGCACAACCACAUAUUUCAACACAAAUUUGCAAGCCUUCUUCUUCAACCUGUAGAAGGAAAAAUAUCACUACUAAAUACUUUUUUUUUAAAUACACUCAUUGGAUUAUCUUUUUAAAAUACAACUCUGAAAUGAAAGCUGAAUAAACAGUAUUCCAAAUGUGCAGUUUUCUUCAGUAGGAAGUCUUGUUCAACUCUUUUUUAAUAUAUAAAUUUUUUUUUUUCCCACUUAAGAAUAAUUCGGAAUAGGUAGCAUUGUAGCUUCUGAUUUAAUUAAUUUUCAAGUUUUACAAGCACUACUAAUUAUAGAACAAAAUGUUUCAUUAAGAUUUAUGGGGAUUUGUUUCCUCUAAGCCUAGACCCCAUUUAUUAUUUUAGGUACUAAUUUUAUAUUUUCUGGCAGAAGAACUAAUUUAUGUGUAUUUAAGACACAUUUCUCAAUUUUUAGUAUUAAAAAUAUCUACAUUUAAAAAAGAACUGCUUGUGGAAACUUCUUAAUAAAGCUGUACUAAAUAAUAUUACUGAUUUUACGUGUUAAGUAAUAUUACUUAUUAAUUUAUCCAAGUAAGAGGGGAAGUGUGGCCCACAUGAAGAGGGCAAUUACAAUCACAUAACCGCAUCAAAUUUUAUUUAAGAAUCUGUUAUUUACACAUCUUAGUUCAAAGAAUAAUUUAAAUGCUGGUUUAAAUGACAGAAAAUACAGCAAUAAUUUGUCUUUAAAAUUAUAUAUGUAUUUACAUCAUACUGUCUGCAUAUAUUACAGAGUGCAGGGGGGAAUACUACUUUGCCAGCCUCAUAUCCUCUUAAGUCGCUUACCUGCUGUGUAACCCUGCUUAACUACUUCCAGUUCUAAGGCAGACUUCUGCACACCACACUGCUACCUUUAUUUAGCUGGUGAAUUUCUACUGAUCUCCAGUUCAUUCUUUGAGAAUCAGUUCUACUACGAAGGUUUUCUCCCCAUUCAGUCUGGCCCCUGCUCUGGGGUAGAAUUAAACCCUGUGGUUAAGAGCUAUGGCUGCUAACCAAAAGGUCAGCAUUUCGAAUUCACCAGGCGCUCCUUCAGAAGUCUAUCGGGCAGUUCUCUUCGGUCCUAUAGGGUCACUAUGAGUCAGAAUCCACUUGACAGCAUUUUUUUUUUUUUUUAAUUCUAUAAGGGGAGGAGCCCUGGUGAGCAGUGCUUAAGUGCUUGGCUGCUAACAAAAAGGUUGGUGGCUUGAACCCACCAGCCACUCCAUGGGAAGAAAGAUGUGGCAGUCUGCUUCUGUAAAGAUUUACAGCCUUGGAAACCCUAUAGAGCAGUUCUACUCUGUCUGAUAGGGUUGCUAUGAGUCUGAAUCCACUCAACAGCAAAGGGUUUGGUUUCAUUUUUAUUCUAUGAGGAGCCCUGCACUAGGCUGCUAACCAAAAGCUCUGUGGUUCUGCAGAGAAAAGAGCUGGUGACCUGCUUCCAUAAAGAUUACAGCUCAGGAAACCCUAUGGGACAGUUCUACUCUGUCGUAUAGGGUCACUAUGAGGCGGAACAACAACAUUCUUUCUACAAAGAAUAAUUUAUACGUAUUUCUAGACACACUGACACGUUGUUUUAUAAUUACCUAUGUACGCUCCCCCCAGUUUUAAAUUACUAAAAGACGAGAAUGAUACUGUCUCAUUUUCUGUACUCCACUAUGGUUAACAUAGAGCUCGGCAGGUAGUGAGCUCUGAAUAAAUGCAGGAUGAGUGAGGUCAUAUCUUCUACACUGACUUUAGUUUCUGCCUAUAAAUCCAUCAUCUCCACCUUGGAAUCCUUUUCCAAAUUUGAAUUUAUUUCUAAUUGUUUAUUACACAUUCCCACCUAAUUUCUCAGAUUAAAAAAAACAGCUGCAUUGAGUCUGUUCCGACUCAUGGCGACCCCACGUGUCCACAGUAGAACUGCUCCAUAGGGUUUUUCAAGGCUGUGACCUUUCAGAAGCAGAUCGCGAAGCCUUUCUUCCAGUGCAUCUCUGGGUGGGUCUGAACCACCAACCUUUCAGUUAGUGUCAAGUGUUUAACCAUUUUUGUACCACCCAGGGACUUCUUUUCAGAUACAGCAAAUUCAAAACUCACUGGUUCAAAACGGAAUUCUUUUUGUCUCUCCAAAGUACUAUCUAUGUUCUCUAGCUUGAUUCAUGAAAUCAAAAUGUACCCAGUUAUCCAAGUUUUAAAAUCUCAGGAUCAUCACAAAAGGGGAUAGACCACUUCCUUACCUGAAAUCUUUUAAAGGUUCCAGGAUAUUUAUGACCUGAAGUUCCAACAUCUAAUAUGGCAUUCAAAUCACUUUAUGAUCUAACACUCCCCCGCCCCCAUCUCUCUUCAUUAAUCUCAUUCAUCUCCCACCCACCUUCCCAUAUUAUCUCUGCUACCCUUAUUAAUGCCACCAGAGUUGUAAGAAACAAAUAAUAAAAUGAGGUAAAAGUGCUCUGGAAAUUAUGAAGUCCUCUACAAAUGUUAGUAUUAGCCUCAUCUCUCUAUCAAAACCCAGCUUACACUAUCUUCCUCCGUGAGGUCUUCUUAUAUACGCAUUCUGUAGUGUCUCCUUUCCUACAACUCACACAGCACUGUAACUAUACCUCUUUUCAUAGCACUGAAGCAACAUGAAUGAUUGAUUCCAUGAGAUAAAAAGUUGCAGUAGUCUGAACUGUUAUAUAUUGUUUUUAAUAUUUAUUUCACCUUUGAAUUUGUCCUCUAAUAAUGUAUUCUUAUGUUGGCCAGACAUAUGGGGAAAAAAAUUCUAUGAUAAUUCACUGAACCUCACUUACAUCAUAAACUUUCCAUAGCAAUGUUCCACCCUUUGGUAUAAAUGUAAAUCGUAUGUUAAAAAAAAAAAUACAGAUACAUCUGCAUUUUUAAAAGUUCUACGGGUGAUACUGAUGCACAUCAAAUAUUGAAAAUUAGUGUUCUAUAGCAGAGUUUGCUUUUUUAUUCCUUUUUUUAGGUAGGAGUAGAAGUUAACUUUGACAGUAUAUUUGGAUGACAUUUUACUAUUUAAUAAUGAUGCUGUGAAUGCAAUUAGCAAAAUAAACAUGAAAUAAAAAAGAAAAAGAAAAAAACCCUCAGAUACAAUGCUGCCAACUUUAUAUCAUGGUAAUAUGAUCACUCCAUGGUCAUACAUCUAAUGAUGUGGUAAUGAAUGUGAUAAACACAUAAAUACCUAAGAAAAAUUUAAAAUACAUUAUUUAAUGGAUGCCUCUCCUCAUAUGUUUAAACAUAACCCACAUAAAGAUUCAGUUAAAUAGAGCUACUUAAAAUGUAAGACACCUUUCUCUUUUCCUGUCUUUGUAUUCAAGGUCAUUAAUAUUUUUGGGGAGAAGUUUAAGGAUCUGCAGGAUUCACUGUCAUGUCUAUGUAAGACUCUUAGGUAGAACUGUACUCAAUUGCAAGUGGCACCCCAAAAAAACUUAAUUGAGGACUAAUUUUUUAAAAACAAGUAAUGGGUUUUUACACUUACUUUUAAAACCUGUCCUUAGGUUUCAAAAAAUAAGACUUUUUAAUACAAUGCUUCAGAAUUCUUUUUUCAUAAACAACAGACUUAACACUGUGAACUUUCUCUAUGAUAUUGAGCAGGUAUUACCUAUAGAUAUAUAAAAUUUCAUUUGCAAAUGAGUUAAGAAUCUAAAAUGGGACUUAGGAUAAUGGUAAACCUGACAAAACUAUAAGAAAAAAGGUAACAGCUUCUUAUGGAAGCAAUCAUCCCCAAAUUAAAUUUUAAAUGACACUUUUUUUUUCCUCUGUCUUUUUUUCAGUUAUUUUCACUUACGUAUAUCCUUUGUAUCAUUUUGAGAGCUUGGGGGCAGGGGCCUCGGGGAGGAAAGGAUGUAAUAUAUUGAGAAUGUGGAUUUAAAAUCCUCCCCUUCAUUUUAUAAUCAAAUAAAUUUUUUUGUAAGAGAUUCAAGUUUCAGUGAACUGUCAUUUAUAUUUAAUUUAAAAUGCAAGGGAUAAAUAUAUCCUAUUUACCUCAUCUUUAAUGAUUUUCAUGAAAGGAAAUAUGACUCUCACAUUAGUUGCUGUUCUUAAAAGCUGGUAGCAUUGAUCUACAAAAACUUGUUUUGAAGGAUUAGACUUAAGCUGUAGUUUACUCCAUAUGAAAAUCAACUCCCUGUAAAUGAGAAAAAAAGAGAAAUAUCAAAAAUACAGUUUAUUCAGAUACAGACAUUAGCUACCUUCCUCUGGCUCUGUGGUGCCCUGGCUAGGAUGUAUACAAGGUGGGUAUAAGUGGUUAUUCGGUAACCUCCACACUACCUCUGCUACCCCACAUGAGACUAAGAGAAGCUGGGAGAAAAAGAGAGAUCAGAAAUUGCAAUUUUGCAGUGGUAAGGAAUGAAUUCCAGUCACAUGCUGGUAUGCCUAAAAGAUCUCUAAAAAUUGAUCAACAUAGUAAUUCUAAUCUCAGUGCACCAAUAUUAAUGAUAUACUUCAAAACAAAAUAAAACAAAACCUUUGGCCUUUAAUAUCUUAUUUGCAGGUUUAGAAAUCAAUGUAGACUUUCUGCAAAAAGAAAUGGUUCAUAUUUUUUUCAUUUUAAUCUAUUAAGAUACCAAAUUUAGAUUAAACGUGUAAGUAUAUCAUAGUAUUGUUUUAAAACAAUGUAUAAAAUAUGAAAUUUUAUAUUUACGAUCAUCUGUUCUUUCACUGAGAGUAUUUUUAAACAGAAAAACUAUGGACCAUUUAAAGUAUUUCAUAAGUAGAUUCUUUCAUAAAGUAUGGUAAGGUUAAAUUGGAUGGACAAAGCUAGGAUCAGUGGGUUUUGAGGCAAAGACAAAUUAUAAGACAUAAUUGAUGUAUCUGGGUAUCACAUUUUAGCAAAUUAAAAUUCUUUAAAACUUGUCAUAAAAGUUAUGUAAAGCAUCAUAAUCUAAAAUUCUUGAAAUAACUGAUGAAAAUGUUUAAAAAAAAAAAAAAGAUUUACUGAGUAUGUUCUUUGAGCCCAGCACAUACAAGUAUUAAAGUUAAGGACAGCUUGAUUACCAUCA